rnacentral:rRNA from 1 species
GUUUUCAUUAAUCAAGAACGAAAGUUAGGGGAUCGAAGACGAUCAGAUACCGUCGUAGUCUUAACCAUAAACGAUGCCGACCAGCGAUUAGGAGACGUUGAAUACAAAACACCUCUAUAUAUAAUUCAAUGUAUGGUCAGCAAUGGCUGUGCGUUGAUUGUAUAUAGUUUCGGUGAAUGACUCCCCUAGCAGCUUGUGAGAA